rnacentral:rRNA from 1 species
UACAGAGGGGGCAAGCGUUAUUCGGAAUUAUUGGGCGUAAAGGGCGCGUAGGCGGCUUGGCAAGUGGAUGGUGAAAUCCCUCGGCUUAACCGAGGAACUGCCGUCCAAACUGCUUCGCUUGAGACCGGGAGAGGUGAGUGGAAUUCCCAGUGUAGCGGUGAAAUGCGUAGAGAUCGGCAGGAACACCCAGGGGGAAACCAGUGGACUGGCACGGUGCUGACGCUCAGGUGCGAAAGCGUGGGGAGCGAACCGG